GUUGGUGGGGGACGGCCGAGCGAACUCCGCUGCAAUGCUUGGGCGUCGAGAGGCCGCGGCGGCGAGGCCGGAAUUCAGCGGCUGAAGAGAGAGAGGAGAACGGCGCGACAUGUUUCGCUGUGCGAUCGACCGAUGGUGUGCUGGCGAAGAAAAACGAGUUGACAGUCGCACAAUUUAUGUUGGCCAUCAUCCGACUCCCGAGAUAGAAGCAUUUCUUCCUCAGAAUUUCUGUGACAACAGAAUAGUUUCAUCAAAGUACACGUACUGGAACUUUAUUCCAAAAAAUCUGUUUGAGCAGUUCAGAAGAAUAGCAAAUUUUUACUUUCUUAUUAUUUUCCUUGUUCAGGUUAUUGUUGAUACUCCAACUAGCCCAGUAACAAGUGGACUUCCUCUGUUUUUCGUGAUUAUUGUGACAGCAAUUAAACAAGGCUAUGAAGAUUGGCUCAGACACAAAGCUGAUAACUCUGUGAAUAAAAGUCCAGUUUAUGUUAUUGACGGAGGGAAAAUUGUGGAAAGGCAAAGUGAAAAAAUUCAGGUUGGAGAUAUUGUGUGUGUGAAAGAAGAUGAAACGUUCCCAUGUGAUCUCAUCCUGCUAUCCUCGAGCAGGGAAGAUGGCACCUGCUAUGUCACUACUGCUAGUUUAGAUGGGGAAUCGAGUCAGAAGACAUACUUUACUGUGCCGGACACGAGUGCAUUCCGUACAGAGAUGGAAGUUGAUUCUUUGACUGCUACCAUUGAAUGCGAACAACCUCAGCCUGACCUUUACAAGUUUGUUGGACGAGUUCAUGUUUUCAGUGAUAAACAAGAGCCAGUUGCAAGAUCUUUGGGCCCUGAAAAUCUGCUGUUAAGAGGAGCCACCUUAAAGAACACUGACAAGAUAUAUGGUGUUGCUGUAUAUACUGGAAUGGAAACAAAAAUGGCCUUGAACUACCAAGGAAAGUCGCAGAAACGUUCAAUAGUAGAAAAGUCCAUUAAUGUGUUUUUAGUAGUGUACCUGUGCAUAUUGGUCAGUAAAUCUUUGAUAGGCACCACGUUGAAGUACAUUUGGCAAAGUGAUCCUGCUAAUGAUGAGCCUUGGUAUAGUUCAAAAACGGGCAAAGAAAAAGAUACUAACCAGCUUGUGAAGAUGUUCAUUGACUUCCUCUCCUACAUGGUGCUCUUCAACUUCAUUAUUCCGGUUUCAAUGUACGUCACUGUAGAGAUGCAGAAAUUCUUGGGUUCUUACUUCAUUACAUGGGAUAAGGACAUGUAUGAUGAACAUUUGGGUGAAGGCGCACUGGUCAACACAUCUGAUCUGAAUGAGGAGCUGGGACAGAUCCAGUAUGUUUUCACAGAUAAAACUGGAACCCUGACAGAAAACAACAUGGAGUUUAUUGAAUGUUGCAUAGAUGGAUUCAAGUAUAAAAACUUCAUUGAUUCAUGUGUUGUGGAUGGAAUCUCUUCAAAUGAUGAUUCUUGCAGUAGAAUCUGUGGAAUGGCUGGAAAGGAAAAAGAGGAGCUGUUUCUUCGUGCUCUGUGCCUAUGCCACACAGUUCAAGUAAAAGAAGAAGACAAAGUAGAUGGUCCAUUAAAGCAGCAAGGGGGCCUGUAUACGUAUAUCUCAUCAUCUCCAGACGAAGUUGCUUUGGUACAAGGUGCUAAAAAAUUGGGCUUCACCUUUCAAGGAAUGGAAAACAACUGGAUGAAAAUACAAAAUAGAGAAACAAAAAUUGAGAUGUAUGAACUUCUGCAGGUUCUUAGCUUUGACCCUGUUCGUCGAUGUAUGAGUGUAAUUGUGAAAGAGGAUUCAGGGAGAAUCUUCCUUUUCUGUAAAGGAGCAGACUCUUCAAUUUUUCCAAAAGUGAACACUGGAAAACAGGAAGAAAUAAGACUGCAUGUGGAGUGCAGUGCUGUGGAUGGUUUGAGGACACUCUGUGUCGCAUACAAAGAACUCAGUCAAGGUGAAUAUGACCAGAUCAGCGCACAGCUUCAGGAAGCUAAAAUGGCCCUGAAGGAUAGAGACAAAAAGUUGGCAGAAGUUUAUGAAAAGAUUGAAAUCGAUUUACACUUAAUUGGUGCAACAGCUGUUGAAGACAAACUCCAAGACCAAGCUGCAGAAACAGUUGAAGCCUUGCGCUCUGCAGGUAUGUGCGUUUGGGUACUCACAGGAGACAAGAUGGAAACGGCAAUGGCCACGUGUUAUGCCUGCAGGCUUUUCCAUACUAACAUGAAGCUUUUAGAACUGACAACAAAAAACAUCCAGGAGUUCAAAGCAAGAAAUGAGGCAAAAGUUCAUGAGCUAUUGCUGGAACUACACAAAGCGGUUGUCCAAGAUAAAAAAUAUUCUUCUGUCAGUCAAUUAAGAAGUUGGUCUGCUACACAGGAAUAUGGUUUGAUAAUUGAUGGUGCUGCCCUGUCACUAAUAAUGAAACCAAACCAAGAUGGGAGCACGGGUAACUACAAAGAACUGCUGUUGCAAAUAUGUCAGAGAUGUACUGCAGUUUUAUGUUGCCGAAUGGCACCAUUACAAAAAGCACAGAUUGUAAAAAUGGUGAAGAAUACAAAGGAGCAUCCUAUAACAUUAGCAAUCGGUGAUGGUGCAAAUGAUGUCAGCAUGGUUCUAGAGGCACAUGUUGGGAUUGGUUUAAAAGGCAAGGAGGGUCGCCAAGCAGCGAGGAAUAGCGAUUAUGCAAUACCAAAGUUUAAACAUCUGCAGAAGCUUCUACUUGCUCAUGGACAUUUAUACUACAUUCGGAUCGCACACCUCGUGCAGUAUUUCUUCUACAAGAAUCUUUGCUUCAUCUUUCCUCAGUUUUUGUACCAGUUCUACUGUGGAUUCUCUCAGCAGCCACUCUAUGAUGCAACAUAUCUUACAUUUUAUAAUAUCUGCUUCACUUCUCUGCCAAUAUUGUUGUACGGUCUUCUGGAACAGCAUAUAAGCAUUGAAAUACUGAGAAAGGAUCCCUCUCUCUACAGGAAUAUUGCUGACAAUGCAUUGCUACAGUGGAAACCUUUCCUUUAUUGGACAUUUUUAGGACUGUUCAAUGGUGUAGUAUUUUUCUUUGGGGCUUAUUUCCUCUAUGAGAAUUCAGCCCUUGCAGACAAUGGUCAGAUUUAUGGAAACUGGACUUUUGGAACAAUUGUCUUCGCUGUUUUGGUGUUUACGGUUAACCUGAAGCUUGUAUUGGACACUCAAUACUGGACAUGGAUCAACCAUUUUGUAAUAUGGGGUUCUCUAGCCUUUUUUGUCAUCUUCUCUUUCUUUUGGGGUGGCAUCAUAUGGCCUUUCCUGAAGCAGCAAAGAAUGUACUUUGUCUUUGCACAGAUGCUGACUUCUGUUUCAGCAUGGCUCACUAUAAUUUUAUUAAUCACUGUUAGUUUGAUGCCUGACGUUAUGGUAAAACUCUUGAGCAAGCCGGUGCACAGAGGCAGGCUGCAGAAAUAUUUGGUCUAUAACAAGGCUGCUGAUACAGUUUCGACCCCCAGAUCCCCUGUCGAACCACUUCUUGCAAGAUCAUUCUCAGUUGAAUCAUGAUUGCCACUGACAGAGAGAAUCUAACUGCAGCCCCUUGACAUGCAAUGGCAUCACCUUCACUGAAUUUCCCACUAUCGACAUCUUGGGGGUUACCAUUGACUGGAAACUGAACUGGACAAGACACAUGUCUCAUGGCCACAAGGAGUUUAAAAUUUGCAAAGCCAGAAUUGCUGACAGUGAAAUAUAUUAAAGAUGGUCCUUUCAGCAGAAAUCCCAAGUCUGAAGUGAACUGAUCAACCUGUGAAGAAAAUAACUGGUCAGACUGGUGAAUACACAGUAAAACCACUUUUUAUACCCUGUGCCUGUGAUAUUAAAGGCCUUGAACUACUUUGGGCUUGGCCCAAAAAUCUAUUCAGGGUUGUUUGAAUGCAAAUUUUACUUUGGUGGACAGAGUUUCUGGAACAGAAACUGCAGAGUGAUCUGUGUUCUGAGAAUGCAAGUCUUUUAAUGUAAUAGGGUAAACUGAGUUGCCUUGUCCAGUGGCUUUGAAAUGCUAUUCAACAAAAUUUCAAGAAUAACUAAUCUUGUAAAAUGAUUUACCAUUAUUCAUUCAUCAAUGUAUUUAAGUUUGAAUUGUCACUGUUCCAACAUAUAUAUUUUUAACCACGUUUUAGUAAUCAGAAAUUUUAAAAAAAUUUGUCAGUAGGUAUUGCAAGUUGCUGUGUUUGUGUUAUAAUGUCAGUUGUGUAAAUGAAUGCUAUUAACCUAUUGAGUAGACAAAAAUGUUUGGUUUAGAGAGAUACACAAAGCAACAGUCUCUUGGUUUUUUUUAUAUUUUGAACUCUUUCCUAGUGCAAUUUGGAAUGCACCAUCUGUCUACUUCGGUAGUCAGUAUAAAAAGCUAUGUCUUUUGAAUGUUAAUCCAGUGAUCAACUGAUGCUAGCGAAUGAAAACAUCUGUUUCGGUCCUUGCCUCCAGGUGAACUACUUACAAAUUGCUUUACUUUAAAUCAUAUAAUGCAAUUACCAUGAGUUCUAAACUAUGGUAGCAAUUCUGAAGCAUGAAUGUAAACCAGCAUUUUUCAAGUUUUUAAAAAAUCUUACCAGGGAAUAUAUCAUCUUUAUAAUUCAGGACUAAAUAUAUUGGAAUAUGAGGUAUUAGUAUAGCUAAUAAGAAAAUGCAAAGCCCUGAUCUUGAAAUGUGAUAAAUACAAGUACUGACAUUUUAUAUAUGUACAUAUAAAAAUGAAGUUUCUGUAUGAGCUUUGAAAAACAGGAAUAAAUGAAUAUGCUCUUGAAA